ACAAGACUGGGGACUGGGAUAGCUUUGUAACAAAUAGAGGAUGUCUGGAAAAGUGAAGAGAUUAUAAAAAUACCUGAAUAUGUUUGUCACUUCCUUUAUGAAGACCUUCUUGAACACACAUGAAGUCGAAGAUGCUCCAUUCUGGGUCCCUUCAGAAAGGCCUCAGUGUAUCUCUGUUCUGGCACCAACACUCUCCAUCACUAUGCCAUGAAUGUGGGUACAAACCUCUCCUGCUGCACCAUAGGCUUCUGGAAGCAGGGAUUGUUCAUAGCUAUCAUUGUGUCAGCAAAAUCUCUCACCAUGAAUGACACCAAGCAGUUAUGAACAAAUGCCUGAUGAGUGGCUGGAAAGUUUUCAUUCUUUACUGGUUUAAGAAAUAUUAAUUUAUUGGUUUGUUUGUUUAAAAUAUUUGUUGGCACUUUGCAGAUGCCACUUCCACUGAUGUCACCACUGCCA
rnacentral:lncRNA from 1 species